GGUCUCUGCUAGUGAACCUGUCUAGCCCGCUGGCUUCACUUUCAUAAGAAAUGACACUAAUGAUUGCCGUAGAUGUCUUUUCCAGAAGAAAUAAAGUCAAACGCUGGUUGGAAGUAAAUUGGUCACUUGAAUACAGACAUAAUUCUGACAUUGUGUUUUCUGUAAAAGUUGUUAUUGGAUAUUGGCCCAGCAGUGUACAUGAAAAGAUUUGUUAGUAGGUCAAUUUCUCUCCCUGGUAUGACCACCAAGGCCUUAAGGUGGUCUUAUUCCAACCAGGUGCUUACAAUCCCACCAAAACUAAGGUCAUGAAUCACUACAGCCAUGCUGAUUUCCAUAAUUGUCAUCCAAGACAAGAUCAUGAUUGCAUUGAUCAUUUAAAAGCAAGGUUUAAAGUUUGGAAGGUGGAACAGCAGCAUUUUCCAAAAGCUAUUUUUAUUACUUCUAUGUGUGAUUGCACAACACAUACAGGUUUUGUGUAUUUGAAAUUUGUUGUACCACUUGCUCUAAUCAGCAAAACCAAUAAUUUUGAGCUGCCAGCUACUUCAGUUUUGGUUUGCCCUCAUUACAGAAAAGUACAUUAAAAUGUGAUUAAGAAUGUCAGCCUUUACAUAUUCAUAUAUGUGGAUAAUUUGCUUUAGAGAUUCGGCAGAAUAGUAACUUGUGUAGUUUAUUAACAAUAUUGCAAGCUAUGAGCAUCUUGGAUUCCAUAUUAGACUUGUUUUAAUAUUUUUUCAAUAUUCCAUUUGGAUGGUUAAUGAUGCCAACACUAAAAAAUCCAAAAAGACACAUUGAAAAUGUAAGUCUUCUUUACCUGUCAAUGAUAAAAUAACCAGUAACACAUUCAGCAGCUGUAAUAAAAAAAACAAUGAAAAUCGAUCACAAACUACGGUAAACAAUCAACUAAAUAGUUGUAGACAUUCAUACAUUUGUAUGUUAAUGUAAUGUAGCUGUAGUUAAUGUUUUUUAAUCAUACUUUUGGCUUGUCAUUGCCAAUCUACAGUGAUUACAUUUUAGGUACGACGUUGCCGAAACCUAUUUCAUCAUCAAGAUGGCUCAAGAAAGAGAAUUUCUGAAAGAAUCUGUAAGCGACCUUCAGAACGUGAUACAUAGCUUAGAGAGUGACAAUUCGCCUUCUGAACAGCACCCUACAACUAGUAUCCACCGCAAACCAAUAAUUUCGUCAGGCUUGUAUUGUUGGUGUACUUACAGGCAAUCGGGAACAUCACGGACACCGGGAGCCGUUGAGUUUUUUAUUUAGGUUUUGGAUGUAGUAGCAGUAGCAAGCGCCAGAUUUCGCAGUUGUACCCACUUUUUUGCUCUGAUUGGCUCUCGCAGCCAUUGAAGAUACGAGUCCAACGCAUCAUGCAACGCAACCGGCAUCUAGUGUUUCGUGAAGAAAUCAUAAUUGAUCCGUGCAAGCAAUUAAUUAUGUCAUCAAUAUCUUCCUGUUGGCAAGUUUUUUAUUGUUUAUUAGUGUAAAUAUUGCAAUUUGUUUCUCUUAAUAUUGCAACCAACUAAUUUCCUUUAUUGCACAUGGAUUAACUUUUUUUAAACCUGCUAGAACAAACAUGAAUUAUUUGAACUUUUGAUUGAAACAGUCAGAUUUGCCUGUUUCAUUUAAAAGUUAAGACUGCCAAGUAAUGCUACUCUUUGACAACUUUUUGCCACUUUCCAAAAGAUGCUAUGGAACAAUUACAGGAAUGGUAUUCCAACAUUAGAAUUUUUCCUAUAAAUUGUAAUAGAUGAAAAUAAUAUUGGAGAAAGGAAAUCAGUGGACCAGGUGAAUCUGAGACCUGUGGACAUUCAUUUACUUGUUCAGAAGGUGUAAAAACAUUUGAGAUUAUGCAACUUUUAAGGAUUGAGUUUAGCCUAUUAUUGAUUUAUAUGAUAUGUGGCAUAUCCUAUGCGAACGAUGUCAUGAGAAGAAUAUGUGCUGUGAGAUGGUUGUCAUGGCAUAAUGAGUUUUCCGGUCAUUCGUUUUUGCGUACGUUCAGAUGGUUUCCAGCAAGAAGCAUCUUUAUCUGUCGAACUUAAAGUUCUCAAAUGCUCUUUACAUAUAUAUUUAUAUCUAUAUAUUUAUUUAUUUCUUUUUCUUUACUCUUGUUCAUACGGUGACAUUUUAUGAAGAGAUUCCGAUGGGGAAAAUCAAAUCAAGCCGUAUACUGGAAAAAUCAGCAACUCUCAAUCCAUUAGAUGACCGUCGGCUGCUUCGGUUUUGCCCGGCGUCGAUUUAUCAUGGUGACCAUAAUGGACAUUACUCUUACUGGACAUUUUCUGUUGAUUCACGAACUGUUAAGUUAAUCUGGGGCUUCUUCAUUCGGCUCCUGGUUGCGACUGGCAUCAGUGACUACAAUGUCUUCGUCCGGAUUCUCAGAAAGUUCUCCUGUCUGAGGUUCCUUAUUUGUCAUUAGACCAUCCAUUGUUAUACCCGGAUCACAGUGUAUGAACACAUCGCGUCCGGCUGCAGUGACCAGGGCGGGCUGAAAUUGGUGACAACACGUAUAUACCAGGAAUGGAGCUUAACGUUUUGCAUAGAUGAAGAACAGAAUAAGAAAGAAUCAAAACAAGUUCGUAAACAGCAAAAACUAAGCUCUGGAAGAAUUGGAUUGUUAACGAACUGUUUUCUUUCGUCUCGGAAUUUUAUAACCUUUUUUUUUUAUACUGGUGAUGUGUGUUUUGGUUAAAAAACUAAAUAGGAACUGCAUACAACUACAGCAAAAAGAUUGGAAAAACUUGCGUAAUAUACCAGGUCACCAAUAGGUGUCAGGGGUGUCUGGUGUCGCCACUUUUGUCGCCACUUUUGUCGCCACUUGUGUCGGUGAAAGAAAACGCAUCCCUUUUUGGCCGAAAAUGCGACGGGCCUGUUCCGGUUUAUCGAUGAAGACUGUGUUGAGUUGGAAGUUGGAACUGAGUUACUCAUCUCCACAAGGAAAGUACACACGAAAACCAUUGAUACUUAACAUCCAUCACAUUGAAAAAUCCUCGAAUGAAUUUUACUUUAUUCCGUGCUAGUUGACAGUUGAUACCAGAGAUUUGGGAACAACAAAGGUUACUGUUACACUGUUAAGUUUAGGAAACUUUUCAGCCACUUCUCUGGGAAUGUCGAUAGAAAUGGUAUACAGUAAAAUCAUGUUAAUGAUGAAACAAGAGGGCAUAGCCUGGAAGAGCUGCAACUGCUGUAGCUCAGAUGUCAGCAGAUUUGUAAAUCGGCUGUAUCUGCUGUGGGAAAUAAGACUACUGAGGUUGCAUAGAUGUUACUGAGAUGAGCUUCAUCUAAAUGCUGGCAAAGCUUAUCUGUCAAAUAGAAACAGAAUAAACAGGAAUAGGUUGAAAUUGAGCCCGAAAUACCCACAUUGUGAUGAAUUAUUGCAUAUUAACAUGCAGAUAACUGUAACAAGUGUGACUCUUGUUGAGAAAAGGAUUGAAACAAUAGCGGACGAAAAGGAAACUGCUUUAAAACCGGUUUUGAAUGACACCAGCUAUUCCGAUGACGAUGUUUGGGAACCGAGCAUUUGAAAAGAAAAAACCCGUAUUCCAGUUACUAAGCCUUCACGACAUUCGACAAACAAAAAGGAAAAGGCUAAAGUAAGACAUCGUCCCUUUGCUGCUUUGGGGGACCACCGUCGCCAAAAGAGAAUCACUUCAUCUAUAGAUUUGGUAGGUGAAAAGCCAAAUAGAUAAAUUUCUUGCACGGAGUAAGCAACAGGUAGGUCGUAUCUAGAACCGUUCAUGGAAGCUGAUUUCGAUGAGACGCAAGUGCUGAUUCGUCUGAUGGUCGAUUAUGCCAACAUGGCAGCCAAGAAACAUGCCUUGCUCAAUCGGAUUGAAAUCGUGACAUCGGAAAAAGGAGUCUUCUUCUGGAAGAACUGUCCAGUCGCAACCAGUAUGUUGCCACGCUACUGCCUAUUCGCGCUGGAGAUUGCCGAACUUAAAGCUAUUGCGUAGCACUGAGCUAUUUAUUAGUUAUAGCUUUGGCAUUAUGAAGAGUGUUGUUCAUCUAUUUGUUCUUGUUUUUUUUUUCUUGCUGAGGUGUUGGAACAAGUAGUUACAUGGAGGUGGAGCAUCAAUUUGGGACUUGAUUUGUCACAUUUGCCGAUUUGGUAAAACAGGGAUUGGACCAACCAUUUUAUUCCCACACCUAUCAUUGGAAUUCUGGCAUGGUAGCUGCUGUUGCAGGACACUCUCGUUGGUUCGUUAGUGAGGUUCCAGAAAGCAGCAUUCCAAGAGCAAGAAUCUAAUUUACCGGCCAUCAACACAAUAUAGAUUAUUUAACUUAUUUUGCUUACAUUUGAUGGUGAAAUUAAAUUGUAUUGAAAUUUAGAAGUUUUUUAAGCUAUUUGCCUACUAGUGAGAAAGCAUAUGUGAAGAGUAGCUAAAAUGUAUCAACAGAGCAAAAUGCAAAACUUUGAUUGAA
rnacentral:misc_RNA from 1 species